rnacentral:rRNA from 1 species
GAUGAACGCUGGCGGCGUGCCUAAUACAUGCAAGUCGAGCGAACAGACGAGGAGCUUGCUCCUCUGACGUUAGCGGCGGACGGGUGAGUAACACGUGGAUAACCUACCUAUAAGACUGGGAUAACUUCGGGAAACCGGAGCUAAUACCGGAUAAUAUAUUGAACCGCAUGGUUCAAUAGUGAAAGACGGUUUUGCUGUCACUUAUAGAUGGAUCCGCGCCGCAUUAGCUAGUUGGUAAGGUAACGGCUUACCAAGGCAACGAUGCGUAGCCGACCUGAGAGGGUGAUCGGCCACCCUGGAACUGAGACACGGUCCAGACUCCUACGGGAGGCAGCAGUAGGGAAUCUUCCGCAAUGGGCGAAAGCCUGACGGAGCAACGCCGCGUGAGUGAUGAAGGUCUUCGGAUCGUAAAACUCUGUUAUUAGGGAAGAACAAAUGUGUAAGUAACUAUACACGUCUUGACGGUACCUAAUCAGAAAGCCACGGCUAACUACGUG